UCGGAAGAAUUGUCGCGGUUGUCACCCAUGACAAACAGGUGGUCCGGCGGCACCGUGACCUCGCGGGUGUUGUCGAGGAAGCCGUGCUCUUUCAGCUUGAACAGGGUGUGCUCGCGCCCGCCCGGCAAUGUUUCAGCAAAACGUGCGGCAGGUGUGACCCGGCCGUUUUCAUCUUCAGCCUGACCGCGGCCGUCCGGCCGCAUCG
rnacentral:misc_RNA from 1 species